rnacentral:rRNA from 2 species
UGGAAGAUUGAGAGGGGCUGCUCCUAGUACGAGAGGACCGGAGUGGACGCAUCACUGGUGUUCGGGUUGUCAUGCCAAUGGCAUUGCCCGGUAGCUAAAUGCGGAAAAGAUAAGCGCUGAAAGCAUCUAAGCGCGAAACUUGCCUCGAGAUGAGUCUUCCCUGAGACCUUGAGUCUCCUAAAGGAACGUUUAAGACUAAGACGUUGAUAGGCUGGGUGUGUAAGCGUAGCGAUACGUUGAGCUAACCAGUACUAAUGAUCCGUGAGGCUUAACCUUACAACACCGAAGGUGUUU